UACGAAGGGGGCUAGCGUUGUUCGGAAUUACUGGGCGUAAAGCGUGCGCAGGCGGCUCAUCAAGUCAGAGGUGAAAGCCCAGGGCUCAACCCUGGAACUGCCUUUGAAACUGUUGGGCUUGAGUACGGGAGAGGUGAGUGGAAUUCCGAGUGUAGAGGUGAAAUUCGUAGAUAUUCGGAAGAACACCGGUGGCGAAGGCGGCGACCUGGUCCUUUACUGACGCUGAGGCGCGAAAGCGUGGGGAGCAAGCAGG
rnacentral:rRNA from 1 species